rnacentral:rRNA from 1 species
GACGAACGCUGGCGGCGUGCCUAAUACAUGCAAGUCGAACGCACAGUUUAUACCGUAGCUUGCUACACCAUAGACUGUGAGUUGCGAACGGGUGAGUAACGCGUAGGUAACCUGCCUGGUAGCGGGGGAUAACUAUUGGAAACGCUAGCUAAUACCGCAUACUAUUGAUUAUUGCAUGAUAAUUGAUUGAAAGUUGCUAUUGCAUCACUACCAGAUGGACUUGCGUUGUAUUAGCUAGUAGGUGAGGUAACGGCUCACCUAGGCGACGAUACAUAGCCGACAGGAGAGGGUGGUCGGCCACACUGGGACGGAGACACGGCCCAGACUCCUACGGGAAGCAGCAGUAGGGAAUCUUCGGCAAGGGGCGGAAGUCUGACCGAGCAACGCCGAGUGAGGGAAGAAGGUUGUCGGAUCGGAAAGCUCGGUUGUAAGGGUAGAACGGGUGUGAGAGUGGAAAGUUCACACUGUGACGGUAACUGACCAGAAAGGGACGGCUAACUACGUG